rnacentral:rRNA from 1 species
CACGUAGGGGGCAAGCGUUGUCCGGAUUUAUUGGGCGUAAAGAGCUCGUAGGUGGUUCGGUAAGUCAGGUGUGAAACCUCCAGGCUCAACCUGGAGACGCCACUUGAUACUGCUGUGACUGGAGUCCGGUAGGGGAGCGUGGAAUUCCUGGUGUAGCGGUGAAAUGCGCAGAUAUCAGGAGGAACACCAGCGGCGAAGGCGGCGCUCUGGGCCGGUACUGACGCUGAGACGCGAAAGCGUGGGGAGCGAACAGG